CCUACGGGUGGCAGCAGUAGGGAAUAUUGCUCAAUGGGGGAAACCCUGAAGCAGCAAUGCCGCGUGGAGGAUGAAGGUUUUCGGAUUGUAAACUCCUUUUGUUAGAGAAGAUAAUGACGGUAUCUAACGAAUAAGCACCGGCUAACUCCGUGCCAGCAGCCGCGGUAAUACGGAGGGUGCAAGCGUUACUCGGAAUCACUGGGUGUAAAGAGCGCGUAGGCGGGAUAGCAAGUCAGAUGUGAAAUCCUAGGGCUUAACCAUAGAACUGCAUUUGAAACUGUUAUUCUAGAGUAUGGGAGAGGGAGGUGGAAUUCUGGGUGUAGGGGUAAAAUCCGUAGAGAUCAAGAGGAAUACUCAUUGCGAAGGCGACCUGCUAGAACAUAACUGACGCUGAUGCGCGAAAGCGUGGGGAGCAAACAGGAUUAGAUACCCGUGUAGUC
rnacentral:rRNA from 1 species